UCCGUAGGGUGAACCUGCGGAGGGAUCAUUACUGAGUUUACGCUCUACAACCCUUUGUGAACAUACCUAUAACUGUUGCUUCGGCGGGUAGGGUCUCCGUGACCCUCCCGGCCUCCCGCCCCCGGGCGGGUCGGCGCCCGCCGGAGGAUAACCAAACUCUGAUUUAACGACGUUUCUUCUGAGUGGUACAAGCAAAUAAUCAAAACUUUUAACAACGGAUCUCUUGGUUCUGGCAUCGAUGAAGAACGCAGCGAAAUGCGAUAAGUAAUGUGAAUUGCAGAAUUCAGUGAAUCAUCGAAUCUUUGAACGCACAUUGCGCCCGCCAGCAUUCUGGCGGGCAUGCCUGUUCGAGCGUCAUUUCAACCCUCAAGCUCUGCUUGGUGUUGGGGCCCUACAGCUGAUGUAGGCCCUCAAAGGUAGUGGCGGACCCUCCCGGAGCCUCCUUUGCGUAGUAACUUUACGUCUCGCACUGGGAUCCGGAGGGACUCUUGCCGUAAAACCCCCCAAUUUUCCAAAGGUUGACCUCGGAUCAGGUAGGAAUACCCGCUGAACUUAAGCAUAUCAAUAA
rnacentral:rRNA from 1 species